AACGAACGCUGGCGGCGUGGAUAAGACAUGCAAGUCGAACGAGAGAAUUGCUAGCUUGCUAAUAAUUCUCUAGUGGCGCACGGGUGAGUAACACGUGAGUAACCUGCCCCCCGAGAGCGGGAUAGCCCUGGGAAACUGGGAUUAAUACCGCAUAGUAUCGAAAGAUUAAAGCAGCAAUGCGCUUGGGGAUGGGCUCGCGGCCUAUUAGUUAGUUGGUGAGGUAACGGCUCACCAAGGCGAUGACGGGUAGCCGGUCUGAGAGGAUGUCCGGCCACACUGGAACUGAGACACGGUCCAGACACCUACGGGUGGCAGCAGUCGAGAAUCAUUCACAAUGGGGGAAACCCUGAUGGUGCGACGCCGCGUGGGGGAAUGAAGGUCUUCGGAUUGUAAACCCCUGUCAUGUGGGAGCAAAUUAAAAAGAUAGUACCACAAGAGGAAGAGACGGCUAACUCUGUGCCAGCAGCCGCGGUAAUACAGAGGUCUCAAGCGUUGUUCGGAAUCACUGGGCGUAAAGCGUGCGUAGGCUGUUUCGUAAGUCGUGUGUGAAAGGCGCGGGCUCAACCCGCGGACGGCACAUGAUACUGCGAGACUAGAGUAAUGGAGGGGGAACCGGAAUUCUCGGUGUAGCAGUGAAAUGCGUAGAUAUCGAGAGGAACACUCGUGGCGAAGGCGGGUUCCUGGACAUUAACUGACGCUGUGGCACGAAGGCCAGGGGAGCGAAAGGGAUUAGAUACCCCUGUAGUCCUGGCAGUAAACGGUGCACGCUUGGUGUGCGGGGAAUCGACCCCCUGCGUGCCGGAGCUAACGCGUUAAGCGUGCCGCCUGGGGAGUACGGUCGCAAGAUUAAAACUCAAAGAAAUUGACGGGGACCCGCACAAGCGGUGGAGUAUGUGGCUUAAUUCGAUGCAACGCGAAGAACCUUACCUGGGCUUGACAUGUAAUGAACAACAUGUGAAAGCAUGCGACUCUUCGGAGGCGUUACACAGGUGCUGCAUGGCCGUCGUCAGCUCGUGUCGUGAGAUGUUUGGUUAAGUCCAGCAACGAGCGCAACCCCUGUUGCCAGUUACCAGCACGUGAAGGUGGGGACUCUGGCGAGACUGCCCAGAUCAACUGGGAGGAAGGUGGGGACGACGUCAGGUCAGUAUGGCCCUUAUGCCCAGGGCUGCACACGUACUACAAUGCCCAGUACAGAGGGGGCCGAAGCCGCGAGGCGGAGGAAAUCCUAAAAACUGGGCCCAGUUCGGACUGUAGGCUGCAACCCGCCUACACGAAGCCGGAAUCGCUAGUAAUGGCGCAUCAGCUACGGCGCCGUGAAUACGUUCCCGGGUC
rnacentral:rRNA from 1 species